rnacentral:rRNA from 1 species
UACAUGGGGUGCAAACGUUGCUCGGAAUUAUUGGGCGUAAAGCGCACGUAGGCGGUUCGUUAAGUCGGAUGUGAAAGCCCUCGGCUCAACUGAGGAAGUGCACCCGAAACUGGCGAGCUUGAGUACGAAAGAGGAUCGCGGAAUUCCCGGUGUAGAGGUGAAAUUCGUAGAUAUCGGGAGGAACACCGGUGGCGAGGCGGCGACCUGGUCCUUG